rnacentral:tRNA from 1 species
UGGGUAGCUCAGUCGGUAGAGCAGGGGACUGAAAAUCCCCGUGUCGGGGGUUCGAUUCCCUCCCCAA